UAAGGUGACCAACUGUCCUGGUUUGUCUGGGACUGAGGAGUUUCCCAAGAUACAGGAAUUUCUGUGCUAAAACAGGGAAGGUC
ensembl:miRNA